rnacentral:tRNA from 1 species
GCUAUCUUGGCAGAUAAGUGUAUUAGACUUAGAAUCUAUUAAUGUAAGGCUUGGCUUACAGAUAGUA